rnacentral:tRNA from 1 species
ACCUUCGUGGUGUAAUGGUAGCACACUCGGCGCGUAUUCGAGAGGUCCAGGUUCGAGUCCCGGCGAGGGCA